rnacentral:rRNA from 1 species
GAACGCGAAGAACCUUACCAAAUCUUGACAUCCUUUGACCGCUCUAGAGAUAGAGUCUUCCCCUUCGGGGGACAAAGUGACAGGUGGUGCAUGGUUGUCGUCAGCUCGUGUCGUGAGAUGUUGGGUUAAGUCCCGCAACGAGCGCAACCCUUAAGCUUAGUUGCCAUCAUUAAGUUGGGCACUCUAAGUUGACUGCCGGUGACAAACCGGAGGAAGGUGGGGAUGACGUCAAAUCAUCAUGCCCCUUAUGAUUUGGGCUACACGCGUGCUACAAUGGACAAUACAAAGGGCAGCUAAACCGCGAGGUCAAGCAAAUCCCAUAAAGUUGUUCUCAGUUCGGAUUGUAGUCUGCAACUCGACUACAUGAAGCUGGAAUCGCUAGUAAUCGUAGAUCAGCAUGCUACGGUGAAUACGUUCCCGGGUCUUGUACACACC